GAUGAACGCUGGCGGCGUGCCUAAUACAUGCGAGUCGAGCGAACGGACGAGAAGCUUGCUUCUCUGAUGUUAGCGGCGGACGGGUGAGUAACACGUGGAUAACCUACCUAUAAGACUGGGAUAACUUCGGGAAACCGGAGCUAAUACCGGAUAAUAUUUUGAACCGCAUGGUUCAAAAGUGAAAGACGGUCUUGCUGUCACUUAUAGAUGGAUCCGCGCUGCAUUAGCUAGUUGGUAAGGUAACGGCUUACCAGGGCAACGAUGCAUAGCCGACCUGAGAGGGUGAUCGGCCACACUGGAACUGAGACACGGUCCAGACUCCUACGGGAGGCAGCAGUAGGGAAUCUUCCGCAAUGGGCGAAAGCCUGACGGAGCAACGCCGCGUGAGUGAUGAAGGUCUUCGGAUCGUAAAACUCUGUUAUUAGGGAAGAACAUAUGUGUAAGUAACUGUGCACAUCUUGACGGUACCUAAUCAGAAAGCCACGGCUAACUACGUG
rnacentral:rRNA from 1 species